UCGAAGAGGACCGCAGAGAAAUGGCCCUAUCAACUGUUUAUCAAAAACACAGGUCUGUGCGAAGUCGCAAGACGAAGUAUACAGGCUGACGCCUGCCCAGUGCCGGAAGGUUAAGGGGAGGGGUGAAAGCUCCGAACUGAAGCCCCGGUGAACGGCGGCCGUAACUAUAACGGUCCUAAGGUAGCGAAAUUCCUUGUCGGGUAAGUUCCGACCCGCACGAAAGGCGUAAUGAAUGGGGCACUGUCUCAACGAAGGACCCGGUGAAACUGAAAUAGGAGUGAAGAUGCUUCUUACCCGCAGCAGGACAAAAAGACCCCGUGGAGCUUUACUGUAGCUUGACAUUGGGUUAGGACUUAGACUGUGUAGGAUAGGUGGGAGACUGUGAAGCUGGACCGCCAGGUUCGGUGGAGUCGCCGGUGAAAUACCACUCUGUCUAAGUUUUGAUUCUAACCUUACCCGUAAGCCGGGUAGGGGACCGUGUCAGGU
rnacentral:rRNA from 1 species